rnacentral:rRNA from 1 species
CCUACGGGUGGCAGCAGUGAGGAAUAUUGGUCAAUGGGCGCGAGCCUGAACCAGCCAAGUAGCGUGAAGGAUGACUGCCCUACGGGUUGUAAACUUCUUUUAUAAAGGAAUGAAGUGAGGCCCGUGUGCCUUUUUUUAUGUACUUUAUGAAUAAGGAUCGGCUAACUCCGUGCCGGCAGCCGAGGUAAUCCGGAGGAUCCGAGCGUUAUCCGGAUUUAGUGGGUUUAAAGGGAGCGUAGAUGGGUUGUUAAGUCAGUUGUGAAAGUUUGCGGCUCAACCGUAAAAUUGCAAUUGAUACUGGCAGUCGUGAGUACAGUUGAGGUAGGCGGAAUUCGUGGUGUAGCGGUGAAAUGCUUAGAUAUCACGAAGAACUCCGAUUGCGAAGGCAGCUUACUAAACUGCCACUGACAUUGAUGCUCGAAAGUGUGGGUAUCAAACAGGAUUAGAUACCCUUGUAGUC